UACGUAGGGGGCUAGCGUUGUCCGGAAUCAUUGGGCGUAAAGCGCGUGUAGGCGGUCCGGUAAGUCCGCUGUGAAAGUCGGGGGCUCAACCCUCGAAUGCCGGUGGAUACUGUCGGGCUAGAGUGCGGAAGAGGCGAGUGGAAUUCCUGGUGUAGCGGUGAAAUGCGUAGAUAUCUGGAGGAACACCGGUGGCGAAGGCGGCAUCCUGGACCGGUAUUGACGCUGAGGCGCGAAAGCUAGGGGAGCAAACGGG
rnacentral:rRNA from 1 species